rnacentral:rRNA from 1 species
AUUGAACGCUGGCGGCAGGCCUAACACAUGCAAGUCGAGCGGAGCGGCGGACGGGUGAGUAAUGUAUGGGGAACUGCCCGAUAGAGGGGGAUCACUACUGGAAACGGUGGCUAAUACCGCAUCCUAUCGGAUGAAGCCAUAUGGGAUUAGCUAGUAGGUGGGGUAAAGGCUCACCUUGGCGACGAUCUCUAGCUGGUCUGAGAGGAUGAUCAGCCACACUGGAACGGAGACACGGUCCAGACGCGUACGGGAGGAAGCAGUGGGGAAUAUGGGACAAUGGGCGAAAGCCGGAGCCAGCACUGCCGCGUGUGGGAAGAAGGUCUUCGGAUUGUAAAGCACUUUAAGUUGGGAGGCGGUACCAACAGAAUAAGCACCGGCUAACUUCGUGCCAGCAGCCGCGGUAAUAC